AGAGUUUGAUCCUGGCUCAGAAAACAGGCGGGGGGCGUGCCUAACACAUGCAAGUCGUACGAGAAAGUCCGCUUCGGUGGGCAAGUAAAGUGGCGCACGGGUGAGUAACGCGUGGAUAAUCUACCCUUUAGUCUGGAAUAACUUAUCGAAAGGUGAACUAAUACCGGAUAAUAUCCCGAAUUCUCCGGAAAUCGGGAUCAAAGAAGGCCUCUGCUUGCAAGCUUUUGCUGAAGGAUGAGUCCGCGUACCAUUAUCUAGUUGGUAGGGUAAAGGCCUACCAAGGUUAUGAUGGUUAGCUGGUCUGAGAGGAUGAUCAGCCACACUGGAACUGAAACACGGUCCAGACUCCUACGGGAGGCAGCAGUGAGGAAUAUUGUGUAAUGGGGCAACCCUGACGCAACAACGCCGCGUGAGUGAGGAAGGUUUUCGGAUUGUAAAGCUCUGUCGAGCGGAAAGAAAUAUAUGGUGGCUAAUAUUCACCAUAUUUGACGGUACCGUUAGAGGAAGCACCGGCUAACUCCGUGCCAGCAGCCGCGGUAAUACGGGGGGUGCAAGCGUUGUUCGGAAUCAUUGGGGCGUAGAGAGCGUGUACGCGGCUGGACAAGUCAGAUGUGAAAGCCCUGGGCUUACCCCAGGAAGUGCACUUGAAACUGUCUUGCUUGAGUAAGGAGAGGAAAGUGCAUUCCUGAUGUA
rnacentral:rRNA from 1 species